UACAGAGGGUGCGAGCGUUAAUCGGAAUUACUGGGCGUAAAGCGCACGUAGGUGGCGACGUAAGUCGGGUGUGAAAGCCCCGGGCUCAACCUGGGAAUUGCAUUCGAGACUGCAUUGCUGGAGUACGGAAGAGGAAGGCGGAAUUCCCGGUGUAGCGGUGAAAUUCGUAGAUAUUCGGAAGAACACCAGUGGCGAAGGCGACUUACUGGACACAUAUUGACGCUGAGGUGCGAAAGCGUGGGGAGCAAACAGG
rnacentral:rRNA from 1 species